rnacentral:rRNA from 1 species
ACAAUGCGGGAAACCGCGAUAAGGGGACACCGAGUGCCAGCAUUUAUGUUGGCUGUCCACAUGUGUAAACGGCAUGUGUUAGCAAGGGCCGGGCAAGACCGGUGCCAGCCGCCGCGGUAACACCGGCGGCCCGAGUGGUAAUCACUUUUAUUGGGUCUAAAGGGUCCGUAGCCGGUUUGAUCAGUUCUUCGGGAAAUCUGACAGCUCAACUGUUAGGCUUCCGGGAAAUACUGUCAGACUUGGGACCGGGAGAGGUAAGAGGUACUACAGGGGUAGGAGUGAAAUCUUGUAAUCCCUGUGGGACCACCAGUGGCGAAGGCGUCUUACCAGAACGGGUCCGACGGUGAGGGACGAAAGCUGGGGGCACGAACCGGAUUAGAUACCCGGGUAGUCCCAGCCGUAAACGAUGUUCGCUAGGUGUCAGGGGCGGUGCGACCGCUUCUGGUGCCGUAGGGAAGCCGUGAAGCGAACCACCUGGGAAGUACGGCCGCAAGGCUGAAACUUAA